AUUAAGUUGUAUGUAAUUAAUGACAAUGUAUGAACUUGGAUUAUAUAGAGCUGACAGCAUAUUGUUUCAAUUGGUCAGCCAAACGUCUUUGUUUUUCCAAAAUUUAUAAAAUUAUUCUUAUCAUUGAUUGUUUAUCCAGCUUUGGAUUGCCCUGGGAGUUUCGAUGGUGCUUCUUGGAAUCAUCUUGUCGAAGUUAAUAAACUAUGGACAAAAUAUAAAGAAAACCAGAAACUUUUGGACAAUACAGAGAGCUAUGUUGUUCCUGAUUGCAUCAUGUUCCAUGCAAGGAACUAAUUUGAGCGAUACAACAGAUUGUUCUUCAAGAUUAUCGAUCGGAAUUUGCCUCUUUUCAACCUCUGUAUUAGGAUUUGGUUAUGCUGGAAUAUUAAUUUCAUUUCUGACUACACCUUCUUAUGAACCGGUU